AUGAUCCACUCGGAUAGUUCUUCCUCUAAUCUUGAUCCCGUUAAAAUUGUCGACGGCCAAAAUCGUGCUUCUCUGAUCUUCGUAACAAAGGAAACAGAAUCCUUUGGACUUUCCGGUCUUCUUAUCUCGUACAAGAUUAAUAUUUACAAUUUCGCCGUAUUGAGAAAACACACAAAUGAUAUCUCCUUCAGUCAGUUCAUAGGGGAGUCCUCCCAGAAAGAUCCAAGCGCUGUCCUUGUAUUCGGCGUGCCAGGAUACCUUUUCGGCCACCCCGAGUUCCACCUCCCGCUCGUUCAAUUCAUUGAUAAGCUUCACCUUGAGGUGCUUAAUAAAUGCUUACCGGCUGUCCCAGAAUCCCCUUCACACCAUACCAUCUUAAGUGACCAUCUAGUCUCCCCUCAAAAACUGUCCAGAACAAUUUGACUCCCUUUGGGACAGCUCUCAUUGCUCAGAAGUCAAACCCUGGAUCAUCUGUCCCCAUCUGCAGACCCCAUAGGUGAGUUCCUCUAGUGCUGAGAGCCCCUAUUUUGUUCAGGGGUCAAUUUUCAUUCUCCUUCUGGCCUCACUUGCUUCUAACUUUGGGGAUUGGGUAACUUCUUAGCUCAACUUUCCCACUCCUUUCAAUGCCUUGUUUUUUCCUAUUAGAUUGUAAACUCCUUGAGGGCAGGAACUGUCACUUUCUGCUUCAUUUGCAUCCCCAGCAAAGGGAAAUCCGACCGCAUCCAGCAAACAAUAGGUUUUGUCUUCUCAAUCCCCAGCAAAUUUCUGAAUUCUCUUCUAAGUAAUUCAGUCCGGGACUCCUGAUGGAGACGGGAUGAUGGAGAAGGUGGGAGUGGAGCCCGAGUGACCCGAGUUCGGAUCCCACCCCAGGCACUUAAUAGCUGUGUGUUCCUGAGGGGGACGAGGCUUUGAGACUGUGCGGUUCUCGCCGUCCCAUUCUCGGAGCCCACCUAACUAUCAGUCAUUGCCUGAGCCCACGGCCGGGCUUCUGACCGUGACCCCACCCUUCCCUCACUCGGAAGUUCAUGACAACUGAGCCAAGAGGAAGUCUUUCAGUCAGCGUCUGGUGGGAGCUGAGAGUGGACUCGCCAGCUGAGCAGGAACCAAGUGGCCCCAGAACCCUCUCCGCCCGCCCCCUGGCUUCCCCGGGGACCGGGUUCCUCCAAACUAUAGAUUUCAGGCCCUGCCCGGGAGCUGAGGCAAACUUCGUGUGCGAUGGGAGCAGCCCAGAUCCCGAAACGCGCGCCCGAGGCCAGAAGCAGUGAGUGCCCCCCACCCCCCGUCCCCACCCCCACUCCUC
rnacentral:lncRNA from 1 species